ensembl:lncRNA
GGAGAGACAUUUUCGCCAGGGUUGCCAUGUCUGUAGUUUUCCUGUCAAAACAGGCUCGGAUGUCAUGGGUGAAAUAUAUAGAGUACCACAGCUUGAGUCAUAAACCUAGCGGUCAAAUAAUGUCAGUUUCUAUAGUUUUCUCCGUUUGCUACUUGAGCCGUCUCUCUCCCUGUCCUCCUGCAGGCACUUCCCACAACAAGCUCUGCCCCCUGUCACUCAAGGAGAGACAUUUUCGCCAGGGUUGCCAUGUCUGUUGUUUUCCUGUCAAAACAGGCUCCGAUGUCAUGGGUGAAAUAUAUAGAGCACCACAGCUUGAGUCAUAAUACCCAUAAAACCUAGCGGUCAAAGCCAGAAAUAGUUUUUCCACCAUUCAUUUUUCCCCAUAGGGGAUUUAAAAACACUUCAAAUGAGGGCUGUGUUUUGUGUUUAUCCUGGCGUUUUGAUAACCGUGUAGAUCUCUCUAGGACAAAGGUGACUUUUAUCAAUGCUAAUUAGCUGCUAAUGUGGCUAUCAUACGGAACAAGCUAGCUCACUCAUCAGAACCAGGAUGAUGACACUGCCGAAUCGAAGGUAACAAUCUCUGAAACAACUAUAUUAUUUUAGCUACAUUUUGUAAUAAAUCACAAAAAAAAAAAAUCACAAAAAAAAAUAUACAUAUAUAUACAUUGACAGUGAACUGUCUUGGGAAAGUUUAAAAUGUACACAAUACCUGUUAUCUAGUGUAACAGUAUAGACUUUACGUCCGUCCCCUCGCCCCGACCUGGGCGCAAACCAGGGACGCUCUGCACAUGUCAACAGCCACCCUUGAAGCAUCUUACCCAUCGCUCCACAAAAGCUGCGGGAACUACUACUUCAAGGUCUCAGAGCAAGUGACGUCACCGAUUUGAAACGCCACUAGCGCGCACCACUGCUAACUAGCUAGCCAUUUCACAUCGGCUACACUAGCUCAUGGUUAGCAACUUUAGACUGGCUAGAUGACCCGGAGUACGACUGGACAGGGGCCGGAUAUUAUUAUAAUGAUCUAAUAGAGGUGCAGAAGCACCCCAUGUUAUGUUAAUCCCACAGCCAACCAUCCCUCUAGACAGAAGCACACCCACACCCCAUGUUAUGUUAAUCCCACAGCCAACCAUCCCUCUAGACAGAAGCACACCCACACCCACACCCCAUGUUAAUCCCACGGCCAACCAUCCCUCUAGGCAGAAGCACACCCACACCCCACCCCAUGUUAUGUUAAUUCCACAGCCAACCAUCCCUCUAGGCAGAAGCACACCUACACCCACACCCCAUGUUAUGUUAAUUCCACAGCCAACCAUCCCUCUAGGCAGAAGCACACCCACACCCCAUGUUAUGUUAAUCCCACGGCCAACCAUCCCUCUAGUUACCCCUUAUUCCACACUAAGCCUUUUAUGCCCCGUGGUCCCUCAACUGCAGUCACUGUGGAACUCUCCAUCUUGUCUUCAUGAAGCCACCCUACCUUCC